AGUGAACGCUGGCGGUAGGCCUAACACAUGCAAGUCGAACGGCAGCACAGGAGAGCUUGCUCUCUGGGUGGCGAGUGGCGGACGGGUGAGGAACACAUCGGAAUCUACUUUUUCGUGGGGGAUAACGUAGGGAAACUUACGCUAAUACCGCAUACGACCUACGGGUGACAGCAGGGGCUCUUCGGACCUUGCGCGAUUGAAUGAGCCGAUGUCGGGUUAGCUAGUUGGCGGGGUAAAGGCCCACCAAGUCGACGACCCGGAGCUGGUCUGAGAGGAUGGUCAGCCACACUGGAACUGAGACACGGUCCAGACUCCUACGGGAGGCAGCAGUGGGGAAUAUUGGACAAUGGGCGCAAGCCUGAUCCAGCCAUACCGCGUGGGUGAAGAAGGCCUUCGGGUUGUAAAGCCCUUUUGUUGGGAAAGAAAUCCAGCUGGUUAAUACCCGGUUGGGAUGACGGUACCCAAAGAAUAAGCACCGGCUAACUUCGUGCCAGCCGCCGCUGUAA
rnacentral:rRNA from 1 species